CAAAGAUAAACUCAAAAUGAAUAAAAGACCUCAAUGUGAGACAGGAAUCCAUCAAAAUCCUGGAGGAGAACAUAGGCAAUAACUUAUUUGACAUCAGCCAGAG